rnacentral:rRNA from 1 species
GGGGAGGGUCAUUGGAAACUGGGGAACUUGAGUGCAGAAGAGGAGAGUGGAAUUCCACGUGUAGCGGUGAAAUGCGUAGAGAUGUGGAGGAACACCAGUGGCGAAGGCGACUCUCUGGUCUGUAACUGACGCUGAGGAGCGAAAGCGUGGGGAGCGAACAGGAUUAGAUACCCUGGUAGUCCACGCCGUAAACGAUGAGUGCUAAGUGUUAGGGGGUUUCCGCCCCUUAGUGCUGCAGCUAACGCAUUAAGCACUCCGCCUGGGGAGUACGGUCGCAAGACUGAAACUCAAAGGAAUUGACGGGGGCCCGCACAAGCGGUGGAGCAUGUGGUUUAAUUCGAAGCAACGCGAAGAACCUUACCAGGUCUUGACAUCCUCUGACAAUCCUAGAGAUAGGACGUCCCCUUCGGGGGCAGAGUGACAGGUGGUGCAUGGUUGUCGUCAGCUCGUGUCGUGAGAUGUUGGGUUAAGUCCCGCAACGAGCGCAACCCUUGAUCUUAGUUGCCAGCAUUCAGUUGGGCACUCUAAGGUGACUGCCGGUGACAAACCGGAGGAAGGUGGGGAUGACGUCAAAUCAUCAUGCCCCUUAUGACCUGGGCUACACACGUGCUACAAUGGACAGAACAAAGGGCAGCGAAACCGCGAGGUUAAGCCAAUCCCACAAAUCUGUUCUCAGUUCGGAUCGCAGUCUGCAACUCGACUGCGUGAAGCUGGAAUCGCUAGUAAUCGCGGAUCAGCAUG